CUUUGGUUCUAUUUUGUUGGUUUCUAGGACCGAAGUAAUGAUUAAUAGGGAUAGUUGGGGGCAUUAGUAUUUAAUUGUCAGAGGUGAAAUUCUUGGAUUUAUGAAAGACUAACUUCUGCGAAAGCAUUUGCCAAGGAUGUUUUCAUUAAUCAAGAACGAAAGUUAGGGGAUCGAAGACGAUCAGAUACCGUCGUAGUCUUAACCAUAAACUAUGCCGACUAGGGAUCAGACAAGGAUAUUUUGACUUGUUUGGCACCUUAUGAGAAAUCAAAGUUUUUGGGUUCCGGGGGGAGUAUGGUCGCAAGGCUGAAACUUAAAGGAAUUGACGGAAGGGCACCACCAGGAGUGGAGCCUGCGGCUUAAUUUGACUCAACACGGGGAAACUCACCA
rnacentral:rRNA from 1 species